rnacentral:tRNA from 2 species
GGGAGUUUAGCUCAGCUGGUAGAGCACCUGCAUCACACGCAGGGGGUCGCAGGUUCGAGUCCUGUAACGCCCA